rnacentral:rRNA from 1 species
AGUGAACGCUGGCGGUAUGCCUAACACAUGCAAGUCGAACGGCAGCACAGUAAGAGCUUGCUCUUACGGGUGGCGAGUGGCGGACGGGUGAGGAAUACAUCGGAAUCUACUUUUUCGUGGGGGAUAACGUAGGGAAACUUACGCUAAUACCGCAUACGACCUACGGGUGAAAGCAGUGGAUCUUCGGACCUUGCGCGAUUGAAUGAGCCGAUGUCGGAUUAGCUAGUUGGCGGGGUAAAGGCCCACCAAGGCGACGAUCCGUAGCUGGUCUGAGAGGAUGAUCAGCCACACUGGAACUGAGACACGGUCCAGACUCCUACGGGAGGCAGCAGUGGGGAAUAUUGGACAAUGGGCGCAAGCCUGAUCCAGCCAUACCGCGUGGGUGAAGAAGGCCUUCGGGUUGUAAAGCCCUUUUGUUGGGAAAGAAAAGCAGCAGGUUAAUACCCCGCUGUUCCGACGGUACCCAAAGAAUAAGCACCGGCUAACUUCGUG